rnacentral:rRNA from 1 species
GACGAACGCUGGCGGCGUGCUUAACACAUGCAAGUCGAACGGAAAGGCCCUGCUUUUGUGGGGUGCUCGAGUGGCGAACGGGUGAGUAACACGUGAGUAACCUGCCCUUGACUUUGGGAUAACUUCAGGAAACUGGGGCUAAUACCGGAUAGGAGCUCCUGCUGCAUGGUGGGGGUUGGAAAGUUUCGGCGGUUGGGGAUGGACUCGCGGCUUAUCAGCUUGUUGGUGGGGUAGUGGCUUACCAAGGGUUUGACGGGUAGCCGGCCUGAGAGGGUGACCGGCCACAUUGGGACUAAGGUAGGGCCCAGAAUCCUACGGGAGGCAGCAGUGGGGAAUAUUGCACAAUGGGCGGAAGCCUGAUGCAGCAACGCCGCGUGCGGGAUGACGGCCUUCGGGUUGUAAACCGCUUUCGCCUGUGACGAAGCGUGAGUGACGGUAAUGGGUAAAGAAGCACCGGCUAACUACGUG